UACCAGCACCCCGAGUGGUCGGGACGAUUAUUGGGCCUAAAGCAUCCGUAGCCGGUUCUUUAAGUCCUCCGUUAAAUCCACCUGCUUAACAGAUGGGCUGCGGAGGAUACUACAGAGCUAGGAGGCGGGAGAGGCAAGCGGUACUCAGUGGGUAGGGGUAAAAUCCGUUGAUCCAUUGAAGACCACCAGUGGCGAAGGCGGCUUGCCAGAACGCGCUCGACGGUGAGGGAUGAAAGCUGGGGGAGCAAACCGGAUUAGAAACCCCCGUAGUCC
rnacentral:rRNA from 1 species